rnacentral:rRNA from 1 species
AGUGAACGCUGGCGGUAGGCCUAACACAUGCAAGUCGAACGGCAGCACAGAGGAGCUUGCUCCUUGGGUGGCGAGUGGCGGACGGGUGAGGAAUACAUCGGGAUCUACUCUGUUGUGGGGGAGAACGUAGGGAAACUUACGCUAAUACCGCAUACGACCUACGGGUGAAAGCAGGGGAUCUUCGGACCUUGCGCGAUUGAAUGCGCCGAUGUCGGAUUAGCUAGUUGGCGGGGUAAAGGCCCACCAGGGCGACGAUCCGUAGCUGGUCAGAGAGGAUGAUCAGCCACACCGGAACUGAGACACGGUCCAGACUCCUACGGGAGGCAGCAGUGGGGAAUAUUGGACAAUGGGCGCAAGCCUGAUCCAGCCAUACCGCGUGGGUGAAGAAGGCCUUCGGGUUGUAAAGCCCUUUUGUUGGGAAAGAAAUCCAUCUGGUUAAUACCCGGGUGGGAUGACGGUACCCAAAGAAUAAGCACCGGCUAACUUCGUGCCAGCCGCCGCGGUAA